UAUUUUAAAGAGAGUUUGAUCCUGGCUCAGGACGAACGCUGGCGGCGUGCCUAAUACAUGCAAGUCGAACGAACGGAGGAAGAGCUUGCUCUUCCAAAGUUAGUGGCGGACGGGUGAGUAACACGUGGGCAACCUGCCUGUAAGUUGGGGAUAACUCCGGGAAACCGGGGCUAAUACCGAAUGAUAAAGUGUGGCGCAUGCCACGCUUUUGAAAGAUGGUUUCGGCUAUCGCUUACAGAUGGGCCCGCGGUGCAUUAGCUAGUUGGUAGGGUAAUGGCCUACCAAGGCAACGAUGCAUAGCCGACCUGAGAGGGUGAUCGGCCACACUGGGACUGAGACACGGCCCAGACUCCUACGGGAGGCAGCAGUAGGGAAUCUUCCGCAAUGGACGAAAGUCUGACGGAGCAACGCCGCGUGUAUGAAGAAGGUUUUCGGAUCGUAA
rnacentral:rRNA from 1 species